UGUGCGGGUGGCUGAUUAAGUCAAAGAUGAAAUCCCGAGGCUCAACUUCGGAACGGUCUUUGAUACUGGUCAGCUUGAGGCUAGUAAAGGAGAGCGGAAUUCCCGGUGGAGCGGUGAAAUGCGUAGAUAUCGGGAGGAACACCAGAGGCGUAGGCGGUUCUCUAGGCUAGUCCUGACACUGAGACACGAAAGCUAGGGGAGCAAACGGGAUUAGAUACCCCGGUAGUCCUAGCUGUAAACGAUUGGACACUAGAUGUUCUCGCGUUUAUGCGGGAGUGUCGUAGCUAACGCGUUAAGUGUCCCGCCUGGGGAGUACGGUCGCAAGGCUGAA
rnacentral:rRNA from 1 species